GACUACUGGCAGGAUCAACCAGGUAGCACUCCUCUUUGACAAAACCAACCCGCUGGUACAAGCCAAUACGGGCUGGGCAGUCAUUCUUAGAGACACGAGACUCUUUGACAGACCCUCCUGAUGGUACGAGCCAAUUCGGGCAAGACAGCCAUGUUAGACAUGACCCUCCCGAUGGUACGAGCCAAUUCAGGCAAGACAGACAUGUCAUACAUGACCCUCCCGAUGGCACGAGCCAAUUCAGGCAAGACAGCCAUGUCAGACAUGACCCACCCGAUGGCACGAGCCAAUUCGGGCAAGACAGCCAUGUCAGACAUGACCCUCCCGAUGGUACGAGGCCAAUUCAGGCAAGACAGCCAUGUCAGACAUGACCCUCCCGAUGGUACGAGCCAAUUCGGGCAAGGCAGCCAUGUUAAGAGACACGCGAAUGCUACAUGAGGGCAAAACAAGGAUCCGAAGAGACCCCAUGCCCACAUCAUUUUCCAUAUCCAGGAUACCAAGCAACACUCAAUGUGCCACAACAUCAACGCAAGCAUCAACGAUGUGGAUCAAAGAGGUCGCUUCAUGGUUCGUCUGAUGCCAUAAGAAUGACACAAGACAAAAGCAACUAUGAUCUACCARGACAAUACCAUAGCUUAGGAAUGCAACACAGAAACCGACACUCUGGACAGGCAAUACAUGCCUACCCAAACAAC
rnacentral:misc_RNA from 1 species